GCAGGAUCGAGUUACGUCAAUCUGUAAUCAAGUGAUGCAUUAGAGGGGAGAAUGGGAGCAUUGUCGAUGAACGAUGGGGUAAACGACGCAUACAGUUGAUCCACUCUAACGUUGGUGUCUACAUACUACUAAUCUCUAAGGGUUGGUUGUAAGUUGAUAAUGACCGAGCAGAGGUCCAGGCUGGCAACAGAGCAGACAGAGCGAGGCACAUCAAUGGGUAGUGGGGAAAGUCGACUUAAAGUCGUCCAUAAAUAAAUGACAAUGCCAACCCGAACAAACUUUUUUUUU